AAUCAACGCUGGCGGCGUGCCUCAGACAUGCAAGUCGAACGAUUAAAGCUCUCUUCGGAGAGUGCAUAGAGUGGCGCACGGGUGAGUAACACGUAAGUAAUCUACCUUCGAGUGGGGAAUAACGUCCGGAAACGGACGCUGAUACCGCAUAAUGCAGCGGCAUCGCAAGAUGACAGUUGUUAAAGAUUAUCGCUUGAAGAGGAGCUUGCGGCAGAUUAGCUAGUUGGUAAGGUAAUGGCUUACCAAGGCUACGAUCUGUAACCGGUCUUAGAGGACGGUCGGUCACACUGACACUGAAUAACGGGUCAGACUCCUACGGGAGGCAGCAGUCGGGAAUUUUGGGCAAUGGGCGAAAGCCUGACCCAGCAACGCCGCGUGAAGGAUGAAGUAUUUCGGUAUGUAAACUUCGAAAGAAUGGGAAGAAUCAAUGACGGUACCAUUUAUAAGGUCCGGCUAACUACGUGCCAGCCGCCGCAGUAAAAC
rnacentral:rRNA from 1 species